rnacentral:rRNA from 1 species
GACGAACGCUGGCGGCGUGCUUAACACAUGCAAGUCGAGCGGUAAGGCCCUUUCGGGGGUACACGAGCGGCGAACGGGUGAGUAACACGUGGGUGACCUGCCCUUAGCUCCGGGAUAAGCCUGGGAAACUGGGUCUAAUACCGGAUAUGACUCCAUGACGCAUGUUGUGGGGUGGAAAGCCUUGUGCGGCUAGGGAUGGGCCCGCGGCCUAUCAGCUUGUUGGUGGGGUGAUGGCCACCAAGGCGACGACGGGUAGCCGGCCUGAGAGGGCGACCGGCCACACUGGGACUGAGACACGGCCCAGACUCCUACGGGAGGCAGCAGUGGGGAAUCUUGCGCAAUGGGCGAAAGCCUGACGCAGCGACGCCGCGUGGGGAUGACGGCCU